AUGUUUGACAACAACCAUAUGGCAUUGUUAAAGGAGGAGCCCGAUAGAGCUAAAUCAACUAGGCAAAACAGUCCAGGAGCCCGAAAGCCCGAAUUAAAUCAGAAGGCCGAGAAAGCGCGGGAGCCCGAAAGCCCGGGAGCCCGAUCUGGUUGUACCUUAAAAGGCCGGAGCCGGCAAGCCCACAGCCGCCACUCCCCAGCUCCUCUCGACCUUCUUCUUUCUCUCCCUCCUGCCACCUCCUUCCCAUUCAUCCAAGAUUCCAAGCAGGCCAGCUUACGCCAAUCAAGGGUAAUGGCCGCGUUCAGCAUCCAGGGCAACGUCUCCCUGCUCGGCAUGGACCCUGAGGCGAUCGUCGAGGCCUGCGACGACAGCGCUCGCGCGUCCAGGCUCGCGCAGGCGCUGCUCGGGGUCGGCCUCGCCACCGCAACCAUGGCCACCUACGCGGCCGUGCUCAGGCGCCCGGGCGGCCAGGAGCUCGCGUACUAUUUCCUCGGCCUGGGCGGCGCCUUCGUCGCCGGCGUGGCGGAGAUGUGGGCCGCGCUCUGGAUCUCCGGCGACGUCCCCGCUCGCCGCCGCAAGGGGAAGGUGAUCCUCUACGCGUCCGUCGUCCCGCUCGUGAUCGCCAGCGGGCUCGGCGGCUUCACCGUCGUUUUCAACUGA
rnacentral:rRNA from 1 species